GCGGGAUUAGUUGAGCGGUUCAACGAUACCUUCCCAAGGUAUAAAGACGGGUCCGACUCCCGUAUUCCGCU
rnacentral:tRNA from 1 species